rnacentral:rRNA from 1 species
AGAACGAACGCUGGCGGCAUGCCUAACACAUGCAAGUCGAACGGGACCUUCGGGUCUAGUGGCGCACGGGUGCGUAACGCGUGGGGAUCUGCCCUUAGGUACGGAAUAACUCAGGGAAACUUGAGCUAAUACCGUAUAAUGACUUCGGUCCAAAGAUUUAUCGCCUAGGGAUGAACCCGCGUAGGAUUAGCUUGUUGGUGAGGUAAAGGCUCACCAAGGCGACGAUCCUUAGCUGGUCUGAGAGGAUGAUCAGCCACACUGGGACUGAGACACGGCCCAGACUCCUACGGGAGGCAGCAGUGGGGAAUAUUGGACAAUGGGCGAAAGCCUGAUCCAGCAAUGCCGCGUGAGUGAUGAAGGCCUUCGGGUCGUAAACCUCUUUUCUCAGGGAAGAUACAAGACGGUACCUGAGGAAUAAGCCACGGCUAACUACGUGCCAGCAGCCGC